UGGCGAACGGGUGAGUAACACGUGGGUAACCUGCCCAUCAGAAGGGGAUAACACUUGGAAACAGGUGCUAAUACCGUAUAACACUAUUUUCCGCAUGGAAGAAAGUUGAAAGGCGCUUUUGCGUCACUGAUGGAUGGACCCGCGGUGCAUUAGCUAGUUGGUGAGGUAACGGCUCACCAAGGCAACGAUGCAUAGCCGACCUGAGAGGGUGAUCGGCCACACUGGGACUGAGACACGGCCCAGACUCCUACGGGAGGCAGCAGUAGGGAAUCUUCGGCAAUGGACGAAAGUCUGACCGAGCAACGCCGCGUGAGUGAAGAAGGUUUUCGGAUCGUAAAACUCUGUUGUUAGGGAAGAACAAGGAUGAGAGUAAAACGUUCAUCCCUUGACGGAUCUAACCAG
rnacentral:rRNA from 1 species